rnacentral:misc_RNA from 1 species
UAGGUUUUUCGUAUAGUCGUUUGACUGCUACCUCCAUCGCCCCCUCCCUCCGCCCCGCUUGCUUCCGCUCCGUGCCUUGCGUGUCUGCUGAUCGCUCACGCGCUCGCGCUUUCUCGCUCUUUGUUCACGUCAUCUAUUUAUCUUUCUAUCAUUCCGUUUCCCCCCGGCCGUCCUCCUCUCCCUCUUUCCCCGCGCACGCGUCUCACGUGGCGUGUGAGUGCCCACCUCCCCCGCACACGCGCACACACACACGCCCUAAGGCCACGGCAAUCCUAUUACAUAUAUAUAUAUAUACGUGCACACGCACGCACAAGGCACUGGAUAUACAUAUAUAUAUAUAUAUCUUCCGCUCCUCCGCGCUGUUGUUUGUUGUCAGGUAUUCUUUGACCACCGCCGCUGCCGCCCGCUCUCGCACUCGACUGUCGCUAUUUCUUUUUUCUUGUUCUCUAUUUGCCGGCUCUCCCUCCUUCCAUCCCUCCCCUCCCCCAACCCGUCCAGGUGCGGCGGCGACAGCAGCAGCAACAGCGCUCCUCUCCCCACUUCCCCCCUUCGCCUCCGUCUCCGGUCCUUCUUCGCCCUUUCGCACCUACGAAUACAUUCAUCGCUCGCGCUUCUCAAUAAAGCCGCUUGGCGCUCUCUGUGCCUGUGUGUGUUCGUGCUCGCUGCCGUCCCUCUCCCUUACUGUUGCUCCCAUCUUCUCUCACUUAAGCUCUGUAAGAGAGGCAGGGCCCGCCACACACACAGGCACACGUACAUACUCACCGUUCAGGCCUGCAUAAGCAAAAAAGGCUGUCGUCGUAUUGGCGACAGACGGCGCGAAGGCGAGGUUGAAAGACGCAACAGGCAGCAUUCGUUCUGCUUGUUGUGUCGCAUUUCUAGUCUUUUGAUACGUUUCUCUCGCUUUCUCUCUUUUGCCGGCCGCGAGCCAUCGACGACGCGUACUAAAGCGAGUGCGAGCGUGUGCGACAACAUAACCGCCCUCCCCACCCACCCACAGACACACACACACACACACAUACUACCCCACCCCACACUUUCACGCAAACUCAAACCUAUUAUCCGCAACUUCUCUUUUUCUGUGUUUUUUUUCUUGUCGUUGCGACUUCUCCUCACUUGCUCCCCUCCUCAAAGGCAUCCUCGCAUUCGAGAACGCACAGCACGCGCCGCUUCAUCUGUGAAUGAAGGAGGACGGAGGGACUGUGCCUUCUCUUUCUCUGCGUGUCCGCGUAAAAGGGGUAUCAUCGUCGUCGAAGCAGAGGAGCGGCGAAACAGAGCGGGAACGAGAGCACCUCGAGCAGAGGCGCUUGUGCGCGGACAGAGACACAGUACAUACACGUGCGUGAUCGGAGGUCUGGCCGCCUGGUGGUGAUACGACGUUAUUCGCAUCUCUUUUUAGUCUGUGGGCAGCGCUUUUUCUCUCUUGUCUGCGCACGGCGACCGCGACGACAGGCGACGCUCCGCCGCAUUUCGGCUCGUCCGAUUUCUCUAUUUUGAGCCGUCGACUUUGUUUUCGCUGUCGUGCGCUGCUGUAAAGAAACACAAACACAAGCCGUUGUAGCGAGCCCCCACCUACCCUGCCACGCUUUCUACACGAACGCGUCCGCCCGGCCUGCACCCACGCUCACACGCACUUCAUUGAUUUCGCUCUCUAUCCCUCUCUCCCCUUACCUUUUUUUUUCUUUUGAGCCCGCCGCCUAUUUCUGUUAUUCAAGCGUCUGUCUGCGUCCCGCCGUCUGCGUGUGUGUGUGUGUGUGUGUGUGUGUGUGCAAGCGUCUCUCUCUUUUCCGCUUUUCUCCGCCUCCCGGUCUACCUGACUAACACAAGCCCGCCUUAUCCAUGCGCAAGCGCGAGUGAUCUGGUGCGUGCGUGUGUGUGUGUUUGUGUGGGUUUCUCCUGUGUAGGCGGCGUUGCUCAUCUCUAUCUAUAUAUGUAUGCUCGUCCUCUCGCCCCCGUGCCCACCUCCGUGAAUUAGUCUCCUUACUGUGGCCUCAUCGUGCUUCUGCGCUUCCUCCUUUGUUCGCCCUUUUGUUGUUGUUUCGGCGACCUCUUCAGCCUCCGCCCCCCCCCACUCCGCCCACCACUCGCACGAAAGGGGAACCUCGACACGUCGUCGUCGUUUUUCUUUGCUGUUUCCGUGACUGUGUGUGUGUGCAUUCGUCAUCGUUGUGGUUGCGCUUGUUCUUCUCGCAGUCCUCCUUCGACGUUGCUCUCAGCCCCACCCACCCACACACACUUCAUUCAGGAGCACCAUCACGACGACUAUCACAACUAUCACCACCCCUGAACGCGGCGGCUUCUCUCUUUUCUUAUUUACCUUUGCAUCUGGAGUUGCUUUUUUUUUGUAUGGUUUUGCCUAUUGCGUGCGUGUGUGUGUGUGUGUGUGCUUUUCGUUUUUUUUUCGUCUCGCCUCAGCGCCAGCAACACGAAGGAGAGCGAGAGAGAGAGAGGGCGAGCGCAACACGACACGCCGAAGACGAAGAGAACUUACAGAAAGGGCGUAUCUGCUACACAGCCUAAAGUGCGGAUUUCAGUGUGGCAACAGCAAAGAGCUGCCGGCGCUCACACACGCAUUCACACAGACAGGCAGACAGAAGUGGAAGAGAGCUGCAGAACAACGUGCGAAGGGGAAAACGGAAGAAAACACGAAGAUUUACCUCCUCUCUCUCUGGCACUCCUACUCCGCUGUAGUGCCGCAACCCCUUCUGUGCGACGACUGCUUCAAGCGUUUUUUUUUUUUGUAAUUUUCUGUGGAUGUUUUUGGUGGCCUCUUCUAAGCUCUGUAGUCGCUGGAAGCAGGUGUGGUGACCGGGGAUCACGCAAGCGCGGGGAAGAAGGAAAUAGAACACGACAUUGCCCUUUUCUUCGCUUUCGCACAGUAUUUCUUGCGUGUACCCCCUUGAUUAACUUUUGUGGGCUUCUCUGUGUGGCUGCGUGCUCAGGUAGUUGUCCCUCUCCCUUACCCUUCAACACACACACGCGCACACCUGCUGCUGAUGCUGCUGCUGCUGCCCUCCCCCUUCAUCUAUAUAGUCUAGUGUAGAUCAGCUGAUCUCCUACCCUCUCCUCUCGGCAGCCAGCCUCACACACGUGCAAAGUCACGCGUCGACGCCAUUCAUUCUAUCGUUGUGUGUGUGUGUGUGUGUGUGUGUGUGUGUGUACUUGGCGUGCAUCUGUUUAGGUAUUUCUCUCCUUAGCUCCCUUAUCUCGCAUCUUUCUCGUGCGUUUUUGUUUGUUAAUCGCUCAUCGCCCACCGCCAUCCGAAACGCGCGCCCCUCCGUCUCCGUCUCCUUCCCGGUGGUUGGUUUGCCUGCUUUGCUGUGUGCGCUCGGCUUUGCCUCUUUUCUAUCUCGUGUCCAUCGAGCUCUUCCUAUAUCACUUUCCCCCUAUUACGCCGGCGAUUGCCUUGGCCUUGUGUAUGUGUGUACGUCGCUGUGGCACAGUGGGUAUUGUCGUUGUCGUGUCUCUUUUUUUAUCGCCGCACGUUGUGUGGUGCGCCCGACUCUCUCUCUUGCAUCGUGUGAAGCGAUUCCCCCCCCCCCCAAGUACUCGUGCAACGAAGCGGUGUAUAUUAUUAUCGUAGCGGUGCUAGUUGUCGGCUCUGCUGCUGCUGCCGCCGCCGUGUCUUGGUGGUGUCUUUCCUUCUUUUUGAGCGCGCAGCUCCCUGCUAGAACUAUUAUCAUUACUUUCAUCACGAUUUUUAUUGUCAUUGCUGUCGUCGACUUCUGCAUCGUCGUUGUCAUCCAGGGACGAGGGUGGAGUCCCCUUUUUGGCUCUACUCGGGACUGGACUCCCUGCCACACACGCACACACACAUCCCUCAAACACCAGCCCCCUCCCCUCCAUACCCUUCUGCUUCCUCUCACCUUGGGCUAGUGCGUAUGGUGCAUUCCUGGAGCAAUGGAUGAUAUCCCUGUUGAAUGCACGUCUUCGAUUGCGGCAGCGUCCAUCGGCACUCUUGGCACCUCGCCGCCCAUGAUCUGGGCUGCAGGGAACUCUGCGCCGAGAAGACAUGGGAGCCACAGCAGUAGUUGCACCAUGGCGAAGCAGCAACGGAUGCUCUCCCUCCCCUCCUCUCGUAGAGAAGAGUCCUACCAGCGAUCAGAAAGUACAACGCACGCCAGCAGCACAGCCGUGACGGCAACGGCCACGACCACAUCCGCGUUUACUUUGUCCAGCCCCCUCUGCGAUAUGGGCGUGACGCAGGGGUGCCGACAGUACAUCAGCAAUGAGUGCAAGGAAGAGAAGCGACAGUACUUUCUUCAGCAGCAGUGCCCGCAGCGCAUGUCGUGGGUGCGCAUCUGCGGCAGCGGAUUGUCAGCGAUGGCGUCGUUCGAUGAGUCUGCAGUCAACUCCCUGCGUGCCUCGCGCUCGCUCUUGAAUGUGAUCGCGGCGUCGAGCGGCAGCUGGGAGGAUCCUCGUGACUCACUCGCCUCCACCGGACAUGGCGGCGCUGGUCAGAGCACCAGUGGCAGUGACAGCACCGUCCCGCCGCAGGAUGCCAGCCUCAGCAGCAGUGGCAACAGCGUGGGCAUGGACAGCGAGGUUGUCCUGCAUCCCCCGGCGCGCUUCGGCCACACCGCCGUCCUUUACAAAGACUCCCAGAUUCUCAUCUUCGGCGGCAAGUCGAGCGAGGAGCACUACUUCAACGAUGUCUACCAAUACGACGCGUCGGCGCGGCGCUGGAGCUGCCUACAGGAAGAGUGCAUCGACGAGGUCGCGGCGGCGGCGGUGGGCGCCAGCGAGCAGGGAAGCGCCAGUCCGUCGUACGCGUCCGCGCCGCCUGCGUCGCCGUCCUUCUCCUCCCCGACCGCGUCCCCUCUGGCGUCGAUGCGAUGGGUCGAAGCAGCAAUAGUGGCGGUACCUCUUGCCGAAGCGGCAGCGACAGAUGCGCCUUCACCCUACUACAGCGGCUCUGCCAACAACAGCGGCAGCGAGGAGAGCAGCGCCACCCGGCGCUGCGCGGCCAGCGCGGGCAGCCGCCACGGCAGUACUUCCAGACAGUGCAACUCCCUCUCGGAGGCGGGGGUGAGACGGCGUCGGCGUCCCGCCGGACGAGUCGGCCACGCCGCUGCGCUGUACCAGGAUACGAUGUACAUCCUCAGUGGGGAGCAGCUGGGACGCUACUUUGAUGACUUGUGGGCGCUGGACAUUCCUAGCCUGACCUGGAACAAGGAGUGCGGACUGCCCUUCUCGCCGCGCAAGGGGCACACGAUGCACCUGCUCCCCGCCGACUUCACCGCCACCCGCGCCCGCCAAGACAUGCUGGUCGUGUUCGGCGGCCUCGUGAAGGCGUCGCGUGUGCGGCCGCGCCCUGCUGACCCGGAGCUGCCCACGCGCAACCAAGGCGACACGGACUUCGCCUGCGCACCGACGAACGCGGUGCUGCUCUACUACCCGACGCAGCGGCGAUGGUGUCAGCUGAAGACGUGCGGCGAGCAACCCUCCGCGCGCUUUUACCACGUCUCCCAGCUCGUCACCGGAACGGCGCUCCUGCUCGUGUUCGGCGGGCGCUCCGCCACUCCGGCGCAGACGGGUGACGGCACUGCUGCUGCCACUGAAGGUGCGUUUCUUAACGAUCUGCACAUCCUCGACGUGUCUACAGGGUUUUGGCGCCACAUCCGAGAUGUCACCGGCGAUAUCCCGUCGCCGCGCAUGUGCGCCGCGAGUGUUUUCGUGAACGAAACGUUUGGCGUGUUUGCCGGCGGCGGCGACACGUACUGCGAGGAUGCCUUUGAGUUUUCCCUGCAGAGCCGUCGGUGGCGGCGCCUGAAGCCGAACAACCAGCCGGCCUGCUCGCGCCCUACCGUCACCUACACGAAGGACCGCCUCGUCUUCUUUGGCGGUUUCGCACCACGGACUGGCGUCAUGAGCUGCACGAUGGAACUCUGCCUUUCCCCGCUGUCGCUCAAGAGCCAGUGCCUGCUGUGGUGGAGUCGAUGCGCCUUCGAGAAGCACAUCCGCUCCUGCACGAAGAGCCGCGCGGCGGAGAUGGAGGAUAAGGUGACUGUGGCAGCCGCGAUGGAGCGCAACGGGAGCGGCUGGUGCACCGGCUGUGGUGGGCAAGUGACGCUGCAGUGCAGCCCUGCUGCGACAGCUCACAGCAGCCCCAUCGCGACACCGCGAUCGUGGGGCGUCAGCCGUGGGUUCCGCCGCCCAGCUCCGCUGCGCGUGCCAAGCUUUGACCAAAGCGGCACGGUAUCAGCGGCAGCCCCGGCAUGGGGUGGAGGGCCGCCAGCGGCACAGUCGUCCGCCCGGGGCGCUCUAACGCUGUCCCCGACACCGUCGUACUCGCCGUCAUCGCCGGCUGUCUUCUCGCCUCUCGCAGGUGGCCCGAAGUUGACGCCGUCGUGGCAAGACGCAGCCGGCAGCAACACGAACCUCACAGGCGGCGGCACAGUCCAUGCGUCGGGCUGUGGUGGAACGGCGACGGUGCUCUGCUCGCCCGCCUCCGUUGCACCGCCGGCACAAAACCUUUUUCCCUCUCGCCCCGGCACGGUGAUGAGCUCGUCGUGCAGCCCCAGUCAGGCUGGGAGCCCGGCGACCGUUUCCGCUGCCGCCUCAACCUCACAGGCGCAUCUCUGGCCUAACAUGGCCCUUGGCAGCGUCGUGUGUGGCGGCGGAGGCGGCAGCAGCAGCAACACCGGCAGCGCUAUAGCGCACCCCCGCGGCAACGCUGCAGUCGCGAUGGCGGACGCAGACGUGAUGACGGGAGCCGCCGACGGCACGCGAUGGUGCUCCGCCCCGUCCCCCGCCGUCCCCCUCUCUCACUCGAUGGCAACCGCAUUGUUUUGCUCUGCGCCUUCACCUUCCCAUACGGCAGCCCCGGGCAGGUCGUCGCUUCCGCCGCCCGUGACCGCCACGGCGGAGCAGCCCGCGUCGGCGUGCUUCAUCGCUAACUGCGCUCGCCACCUCGGCGGCUACGUAGCGGCAUCCUUUCCCCGCCUCACCAGGUGCAGCUCAAAUCAAGCGCCUCCGCCAGCCCACGCCGGAGGGCCCUCACCAGCAGCGGCGGUCGUGAGCAGCGGGCGCAGGGGUGGCAGUGGAAGCUGGUGUUUCUCUCUGCAUAUGCGGUCACCGGCCAGUCCGUUGCAAGGGCGCGCGAUGCGCGUGGAUGCUACGCUUCCUGGUCCCUCGCCGUCCCCACAGCCAGCGUACGACUCCAGCGCUGGAGUCGUCGGGUACCGGCAGUCUUCGCCGUUCGUGCGCCGCUCCAACAGUAUCCCCAACGGCGGCGGUUCCGCCUUCGUCAUCCCUCAGCAGCAGCUGCACACGUCGACGCAGCUCGCCGAAUCCACCUCUAGCCGCGCCUCCUCGGCUCACAGCACGCGCUCGGCAUCGACGAUGUCGGCUGCCCAUCUUCCGAAUACCUACGCGAAGCAUACGAUCCAAAGGCUGGAGGGGAUGACCGGGCCAUACCUACUCCAGGCCCUGGCAGCCAGGUUGAAGCGGCAUGAGGCGGAGGCGAGCACGGACAAGCGGUCACUUUAGAGAAAGAGCGAGAGAGACCACGGGAGAGCAGGCGCUUCUCUGCGUGGCUCACUGCUGCACGGCCACUCUACUUGUAUGCGUCCGUCGUAGAAGAAGAGGAAUGGUGGUGUAGGACAUGCACGACAGCCGUCAUGGCAACAAAGCCUGCCGUGCUCAUCCUCCUGCACCCUCCCUCCUUCUUCUUUCGCAUGCCUCUCUUGCUCUCUAUCGCACUCUUGGCGUGUGUUUUGUGGCAACUGUCUCCAGGAGGAUGCGGCGUAUGUGCGGUGCCUUUAUGUGUUGUCGGUCGUGAUCACCUCUUUAUGUCUCUGUGUGUGUGUCUCUUCUCCCACGGAGAGGGGCAUGUGUGCCUUUAUGCUGGUCUGGGAGUGGGUGGUCGUUGGCAUCUCCGCGAGGUACUCACAGCACACCAUCACCCUGGGCAAAUGAAUACGCACAUGCACACCCGCCAUGCGCACGCCACAUCGCUAUCCGCCCGGUUCGCACUUCUAUUUUCGCUCUAUUACGACCUCUACCCCCUCAUCCCCCCCCCCCCGACACACACUCCCUCUUCACCUCCCGUUCACCCUCACCCUCACCUGCACCCCCCCCCACCCCACCCAUCUCACCCAUCUCACCCGACAAUACGGGGGAGGGGGGAUGAUGGGGUACUAUGAGGUAUGGGGAGGGGGGGCACCAAAAACAAAAAGGUGAAUGAGCUAGGAGAUUCAAAGGACCUCAGUCACACACGCACAGGCACGCCUAUGUGUGGGUACGUGUUCGACUGAGGCUCGUCUUGUAUUGCGUGAGCAGAUGUGUGCGUGUACGCUUUCAUGUCUUCUCUGUGUACCUCGACUUCUUUACCCCUUUCCUC